GUUGUACUGUCUCCUUUUUCUAAUCAGUGAAACUAAUCUCCCCGUGAAGAAGCGGGGAUACUACUAUAAGACGAGAAGACCCCAUGGAGCUUUAAACCCAACUACACCCCUAUUUACAACAACUACUUAACCAAUUGGACACUGUAUGCUUGGUUUUAGGUUGGGGCGACCACGGAGUAAAAAAUAACCUCCACGAUAAAUGGGCUUACCCCCUUAUCUAAGAGCCACACCUCUAAGAAUUAAAAUAUUAAUAUAAUAUGAUCCUUUCUUGAUCAACGGACCAAGUUACCCUGGGGAUAACAGCGCAAUCCAUUUCAAGAGCCCCUAUCGACAAAUGGG
rnacentral:rRNA from 1 species